ACUGCCCUUAGAGGCUUUUGCACGUAUGGUUGCUGUGUCAGACAUGCAUCAGUAGGUGGCAGAGAAGAGAGAAUGUAUGUCUAUAUUCAGUAUUCCGACCUGUGAUGCCUAACAUU
ensembl:snoRNA Gm22310 predicted gene, 22310